rnacentral:rRNA from 1 species
GACGAACGCUGGCGGUGUGCUUAACACAUGCAAGUCGAACGGUAAGGCCCUUUCGGGGGUACACGAGUGGCGAACGGGUGAGUAACACGUGAGUAACCUGCCCUCAUCUCUGGGAUAACAGUCGGAAACGGUUGCUAAUACUGGAUAUGAGCCUGCAAGGCAUCUUGUGGGUUGGAAAGAUUUUUUGGUUGGGGAUGGACUCGCGGCCUAUCAGCUUGUUGGUGAGGUAGUGGCUCACCAAGGCUUCGACGGGUAGCCGGCCUGAGAGGGCGACCGGCCACAUUGGGACUGAGAUACGGCCCAAACUCCUACGGGAGGCAGCAGUGGGGAAUAUUGCACAAUGGACGGAAGUCUGAUGCAGCAACGCCGCGUGCGGGAUGACGGCCUUCGGGCUGUAAACCGCUUUCAAUUGUGACGAAGCUUUUUGUGACGGUAGCAGUAGAAGAAGCACCGGCUAACUACGUG